UACGGAGGAUGCGAGCGUUAUCCGGAUUUAUUGGGUUUAAAGGGUGCGUAGGCGGGCUGUUAAGUCAGCGGUAAAAGCCCGGGGCUCAACCCCGGCCUGCCGUCGGAACUGGGUGCCUUGAGUGGGCGAGAAGUAUGCGGAAUGCGUGGUGUAGCGGUGAAAUGCAUAGAUAUCACGCAGAACGCCGAUUGCGAAGGCAGCUUACCGGCGCUCAACUGACGCUGAGGCACGAAAGCGUGGGUAUCGAACAGG
rnacentral:rRNA from 1 species